rnacentral:misc_RNA from 1 species
UCUGCCUUAUCGGCUAGCGGUCCUAUUAGAGUGCCUAACUUAAUACUGGCAACUAAUAGCAAGGGUUGCGCUCGUUGCGGGACUUAACCCAACAUCUCACGACACGAGCUGACGACAGCCAUGCAGCACCUGUCUCCACGUCCCCGAAGGGAACCCCUACUUUCAUAGGGUAGCGUGGGAUGUCAAGCCUAGGUAAGGUCUUUCGCGUUGCAUCGAAUUAAACCACAUACUCCACCGCUUGUGCGGGCCCCCGUCAAUUUCUUUGAGUUUUAACCUUGCGGCCGUACUUCCCAGGCGGGGUACUUAACGCGUUAGCUACGACACCGAAAGAGUAAGAACUCCCGAUAUCUAGUACCCAUCGUUUACAGCGUGGACUAC